CCCUCGUUAAUAUAGUGGUCAGUAUCCCCCGCCUGUCACGCGGGGAGUCCGGGGUUUCAAUUCCCCGACGGGGAGA
rnacentral:tRNA from 1 species